rnacentral:lncRNA from 1 species
UACUGAUCCCUUUGUUCAAAGAAAACAGUUUCCCUUUUAUGAGAAGGCCAAGAUAAAAAGGACUAGAAGGCAGUAAAUUGAGACUGCAAAUUCUCUAACAGGACUCCAAAUUUGUUAUUAACUCUGCCUUCCUUAAUGGAAAAUAUAGAAGAGAAAAUUGCAACUGAUGAAGAAUGGUUUAAACUCCUGAAAAAACUUGAAAGGAUUCUGGAUUUUUUUUAUUUUUAAGAGAAAUUUUAUUUCUUUUUUCAUGACAAAAAUAAAAGAGAGGAAAAGGAAUGUCUCUAAAAUUUGUGAAGCAUUAUGACAAGGAGAUGCUUAUAUCAUUAAUCUCAAGGCUCUAUGGUGUAGUAACAUUAUUUUCAAACUGCUGCUUGGAACCAUUUACACAAGAAGAAUAUGUUAGGGGAUUUAAGGGAGGGGUCACUAUCCUGGAGGCUUGGACGAGAGAAGAUAUACAUACAGAGACACACAGAAACAAAAGGAACACAAAACUUUUCAGUUCUACAGAGAAGAGGGGAG